ACGAUCACAAGCCCAAAGGCCGCCUUUGUUGAGCCGUUGAUAAAGAAGCCACGCCCACAAAUUGAGGCGCUACUUCUUUCGUUGACCAAAAUCUGUGACCGACACGAUUAAACUAGGCGGGAAACACAGAAGCUGGUUUCUUCAGCUCGACACGUUGAGCAGGUGGGUCGCGUUUGCAGCACCAGGUGAAAGAUUGACGUUGAUGCUCUUAUAACUCAGGUUCCUGUGAAGCGUAGAGAUGAGGCAAAUCCGUGCCGGGAUUAUCUUCCACUUUCUCACCUCGCACAGGUGUGGAGAGCUGAUAUGGCCCAAAAACCCACAUGCUCCCGAUGCACCAUGGGAAGAAGCGGGACAGCUGUGAGAGGGAAGCCACAGGUUUGCACAGACGAUCAGACCAUUUCCAUUUCAUACGAAUGGGUGAAGAAAAAAAUGAAUCGCUUUAAAAUAUUACUCUGAAAAAGUCCUGCCUGAACUCUAAAAAAUAAAAAUUUGUAAAUAAAUGUGAACAUUUUUAAAAAUCCAAUGUUCAAGGACAUCGUAAAGUAUUAGAAAUGGGAUGAUUCAAAUUAAUUGUACGCCUCUAAACGCACAUAAAACAGGAUACAGGCAUGUUUUAGACGUUUUUCACAUUCUUUAGAGAAACAAAGGCUUCAGCCCUCAAAAACUGAUGAAUGGUAAUGUAAAAAGAGAAAAGAGAGGAAGCAUUUCUAGAACAUGAAUUAAAGGAGUCACGGAUAAAAGCACUUUAGUCGAAAGUGCCAUUGUUCAAAGACCAAUCCACCACAACGAGCCUGCGAGCUCAGAUAAACACAAUUUCACUCUAGUCACUGCGAUUAGCACACCGCUAAUCGCUUCAUUUCCUAUGUCGCUAUUGCCGGUAAACAAAAGGUCAUAAUUUAGUGGAAUUAGACUUCCAGAAACGAAUCCACUUGAACCUCUUUUGUUCUUAAGAACCCACAGAAUACUGAUAAUGUGUUUUUAAUCCCUCACCAAGUCUAUUAAAUUGUUUGGGUAUUUAAAAACGUUCAAGCUUUCAUAAAUCGGCACAAUUGCACAAAAUACCGUUUUUUGGGAGGGGGAAAUGAAGUACAACUUUCAGGAUUAUAAGAGAAACACGUUGCAAUCACGUUUGUUGUUUGGGGAACCACAUUAGAACUCGUGAAACAAAAGUUUGACAGACCAAAAUCUGAGAGAGUGAUAUACCACAAAGACUGUGAUCCUUUUAUACUUUUCCUCUCAUGUAAAAGCUCUUUUAACGUUCGAGUCUUUGCUUAGAUGCAGCACUUACUGAAUUCACGCGGGACUCUAGUUCAGAAAACAAAGAGCAUCCUGAAUUGUAGAACACAGUGGCAUCAUGGGAAUAUUCCAGGACAUGUUCUCGACAUAACUAGGUUGAGGACUAGAGUUUACAUUGAUUCUAGAGCUCCUGCGGAGCAGAGACACACUUAAUAAUAAAGGCCCGGUCUCAAAUGUUGCUCUUAGUCAUCUGAGGAGUGAGGAGUGAAGACUUAACACUUUGGUGAUGUAAUCCAGCAAAGACUGUUGGGUUGAAACCCACUGUGAAGUUCACUUCAGUGCUUUGCAAAAAAAGUGUGCACUUUGUGGCUAAAAAACUCCCUAUUAAAAUGUAAAAUGAUGAAUGAGACACCCUACGGUCUUGUGUGCUUCAUGAACACAUGCAAACAGGAACACAAAGCA